rnacentral:rRNA from 1 species
GAUAACGGCGUCGAGCGGCGGACGGGUGAGUAAUGCCUAGGAAAUUGCCCUGAUGUGGGGGAUAACCAUUGGAAACGAUGGCUAAUACCGCAUGAUGCCUACGGGCCAAAGAGGGGGACCUUCGGGCCUCUCGCGUCAGGAUAUGCCUAGGUGGGAUUAGCUAGUUGGUGAGGUAAGGGCUCACCAAGGCGACGAUCCCUAGCUGGUCUGAGAGGAUGAUCAGCCACACUGGAACUGAGACACGGUCCAGACUCCUACGGGAGGCAGCAGUGGGGAAUAUUGCACAAUGGGCGCAAGCCUGAUGCAGCCAUGCCGCGUGUGUGAAGAAGGCCUUCGGGUUGUAAAGCACUUUCAGUCGUGAGGAAGGUAGUGUAGUUAAUAGCUGCAUUAUUUGACGUUAGCGACAGAAGAAGCACCGGCUAACUCCGUGCCAGCAGCCGCGGUAAUACGGAGGGUGCGAGCGUUAAUCGGAAUUACUGGGCGUAAAGCGCAUGCAGGUGG